rnacentral:rRNA from 1 species
UACGUAGGGUGCAAGCGUUAAUCGGAAUUACUGGGCGUAAAGCGUGCGCAGGCGGUUUUGUAAGUCUGUCGUGAAAAUCCCCGGGGCUCAACCCUGGGAAUUGCGAUGGAGACUGCAAGGCUAGAAUCUGGCAGAGGGGGGUAGAAUUCCACGUGUGAGCAGUGGAAAUGACGUAGAGAUGUGGAGGAACACCGAUGGCGAAGGCAGCCCC